UACGUAGGGGGCAAGCGUUGUCCGGAUUUAUUGGGCGUAAAGAGCGUGUAGGCGGCCAGAUAGGUCCGUUGUGAAAACUGGAGGCUUAACCUCCAGCUGUCGAUGGAAACCAUCUGGCUAGAGUCCGGAAGAGGAGAGUGGAAUUCCUGGUGUAGCGGUGAAAUGCGCAGAUAUCAGGAAGAACACCCGUGGCGAAGGCGGCUCUCUGGGCCGAUACUGACGCUGAGGAGCGAAAGCGUGGGGAGCGAACAGG
rnacentral:rRNA from 1 species